CUCAAGGUGGGGAGGGGUCCGGGUCCACGUCCCUCCAGCCAGGGCCGGGAUUCCGCGGGGCGCGCUCCUGGCGGCCAGGCCAGACCCACCAGCUGGACGCUGAGGCGCCUUAACCCCCUCCUGUCCGGCUCGUCCACCCACCCACAGGUAGCAGGAUGGGGAAACCUGGAAUUCGAGCCCAGCCCUGGCCUGAAUGCUUCCCAAAGGUCCUUUGAUUUAAUCCUUGCAAACACUCAGUGGGAAGGAUGCCAUGGUCUCCAUUUGACAGAUGAAGACACCAAAGCUCCGAGAGGACAAGUCGCUGUCUAGGGUAAUUUAGCCGCCACCAGGUUCCAAAUGCUACCAUGAUUCCAACUGGACUUCCCUGGGAAGACGACCCUACCAAUGUGUCCUGGACCCCUACCUCCCCAGAUCUCUGCUACACUAAGGAAAGAGAGAGACAGGCUGGGAUUAUGGAUCAACCUGUCAAUGCCUAUAUUCAGUGGGGAAGUAAUUACAGAAGCCAGACCUUCCACCUUCUGCAUCCCAUAAUGAUCCUGGGUCCAUGCUCCCAAAAGGAUAAAGAAUAAAGGAUAAAGGUAGCCAUCAAGGGAGGGGACUGGAUAUGGAGUUCUGGUGGUGGGAAUUGUGUUGAAGUAUACCCCUUCUGUCCUAUAAUCUUGUCAAUGUUUCCACUUUGUAAAUAAAAAUUUUUAAAAA